rnacentral:lncRNA from 1 species
UUCUGAAAUUUGGUUUCAGGGUUUAUCUAAGUCAGCUAUACAGUGUGAUGCGUUUUCAGAUUCAUCACUUGACAUCUUCCUGUUAACUGAACACUUGUAUGAUUUUACACAUGAAAGCCAAGUUGAAAAUUUUCGUCACACUUUUCUCAGGAACUACAAUAUAAGGAUUUCUGAAAUUUGGUUUCAGGAUUUAUAUAAGUCAGCUAUACCGUGCGAUGCGUUUUCAGAUUCAUCACUCGACAAUUUCCUGUUUACCGAACACUUGCAUAUUUUUACACUAUUUAUAUUAUCCACUUGCGGCGGGG